rnacentral:rRNA from 1 species
UACGUAGGGUGCAAGCGUUGUCCGGAAUUAUUGGGCGUAAAGAGCUCGUAGGCGGUUUGUCGCGUCUGCUGUGAAAACUCGGGGCUUAACCCCGGGCCUGCAGUGGGUACGGGCAGACUAGAGUGCGGUAGGGGAGACUGGAAUUCCUGGUGUAGCGGUGAAAUGCGCAGAUAUCAGGAGGAACACCGGUGGCGAAGGCGGGUCUCUGGGCCGUAACCGACGCUGAGGAGCGAAAGCGUGGGGAGCGAACAGG